AACGAACGCUGGCGGCAUGCCUAACACAUGCAAGUCGAACGAGACCUUCGGGUCUAGUGGCGCACGGGUGCGUAACGCGUGGGAACCUGCCUUUAGGUUCGGAAUAACUCUCCGAAAGGGGUGCUAAUACCGAAUAAUGUCUUCGGACCAAAGAUUUAUCGCCUUUAGAUGGGCCCGCUUGGAUUAGCUAGUUGGUGGGGUAAAGGCCUACCAAGGCGACGAUCCAUAGCUGGUCUUAGAGGANGAUCAGCCACACUGGGACUGAGACACGCCCAGACUCCUACGGGAGGCAGCAGUGGGGAAUAUUGGACAAUGGGCGGAAAGACCUGAUCCAGCAAUGCCGCGUGAGUGAUGAAGGCC
rnacentral:rRNA from 1 species